rnacentral:tRNA from 1 species
GGUCCGGUGGCCGAGGCGAGAACGGCGCCGUUCUUCACACGGCAGGACCGGGGUUCAAAUCCCGUCUGGACCA